ensembl:lncRNA
GGGUUAUUAUUAAAGGUGUGUUAGGCUAUGGGUCAUUAUUAAAGGUGUGUUAGGCUAUGGGUUAUUAUUAAAGGUGUGUUAGGCUAUGGGUCAUUAUUAAAGGUGUGUUAGGCUAUGGGUUAUUAUUAAAGGCGUGUUAGGCUAUGGGUCAUUAUUAAAGGUGUGAUAGGCUAUGGGUCAUUAUUAAAGGUGUGUUAGGCUAUGGGUUAUUAUUAAAGGUGUGUUAUGCUAUGGGUCAUUAUUAAAGGUGUGUUAGGCUAUGGGUUAUUAUUAAAGGUGUGUUAGGCUAUGGGUUAUUAUUAAAGGUGUGUUAUGAUUCUGCAGUCAGAGCGCCCCCU